rnacentral:rRNA from 1 species
UACGUAGGGGGCAAGCGUUGUCCGGAAUUAUUGGGCGUAAAGCGCGCGCAGGCGGUCAUUUAAGUCUGGUGUAUAAACCAAGGGCUCAACCUUUGGACGCAUUGGAAACUGGGUGACUGGAGUGUAGGAGAGGAAAGUGGAAUUCCACGUGUAGCGGUGAAAUGCGUAGAGAUGUGGAGGAACACCAGUGGCGAAGGCGACUUUCUGGCCUAUAACUGACGCUGAGGCUCGAAAGCGUGGGGGAGCAAACAGGG